GAAAGUGGCUCCUAAGUCACAAAGUCACAGGCGGGUGGGCAUCCUUUCAACAGGGCUCCCAGGAAUAGAGCUGUGCCACUCUCCCUGAUGAUCCUGGGAAGUAGCUACCUCUCCCAGAUGGAGUUGGGGUCCAAUCCAUGCAUGUCCAAUUCCCAGCGAAGCCCACUCUCCCCAGGGCUGGCUGGGAUGGAAGGAUAACUACAGGCCCCCGUGGGAUUUGUCUAUGUGAGGGCAGGGUGUACAAGGUUUGAGACAGUGGUAAAAGGACAGGUGUGCUUCUUAAGGAAGCAGCAGAAAGGUGGCAAGAAGCUGGCAGCAGCCCCCGAGAGGGCCCUGGCACCAUGGACGAUGAGGAACCUCUUGAGCCUGAGACACAAGAUGAGACUGAAACAGUGGCAGCAUCAGAGAACAGUGACGAAACACUCUACUGUGAGGCCGAAGCCACCCCGGCUGUCGAAAAAGAGAAACCAACCCACGAGAGUUCAGAAACAGACCUUGAGAUGGAAGAUACUGAGAAAUUUUUCACCACUGGACAAAAGGAGCUGUACCUGGAGGCCUGCAAACUGGUGGGUGUAGUGCCUGUCUCCUACUUCAUCCGGAACAUGGAGGAGUCCUAUGUGAACCUCAACCACCAUGGGCUGGGCCCCAGGGGUACCAAGGCUAUUGCGAUUGCCCUGGUGUCCAACACGGCUGUGAUGACCCUGGAGCUGGAAGACAACUGUAUCAUGGCGGAGGGCAUCGUGAGCCUGACGCAGAUGCUGCGAGAGAACUACUACCUCCAGGAGCUGAAUCUUUCCGACAAUGAUCUUGGUUUGGAGGGGGCCAGAAUCAUCUCAGAAUUUCUCCAGAGAAAUACGUCUUCACUCUCGAACCUUCAGCUUUCAGGACUUGCCUUUUCUAUGGCUGGUUGUUUCAAAGGGGAGACCGGCAGGGCUGGGAUACGGGAGGGUAAGGCAGCCCUAGUCUGGAGAGCAUCGCCAACGCCCACCUUCCCUCCAGGAAAUAACUUCAAGGACGAAGCUGCAGAGCUGCUCAGCCAAGCCCUGUCGUCUGAUUACCGAAUUAAGUCGCUGGAUCUCAGUCACAACCAAUUCUCUGACAAAGGAGGGGAGCACUUGGGACAGAUGCUGGCCUUGAAUGUAGGGCUCCAGUCGCUGGAUUUGAGCUGGAAUCACUUCUACACACGGGGAGCUGUGGCUUUGUGCAAUGGUCUCCGGACCAAUGUGACCCUGAAGAAACUGGAUGUCUCCAUGAAUGGCUUUGGGAACGAGGGGGCUACGGCCCUAGGGGAUGUCCUCAGACUCAACAACUCCCUGGCCUACCUAGAUGUUAGCGGCAAUGACAUUAGCAACGAAGGAGUCUCCAAAAUCAGCAGAGGACUGGAGCUCAAUGACAGCCUCAAAGUCCUGAAGCUUUUCCUGAACCCUAUGAGUAUGGAUGGAGCUGUUUUACUUAUCCUGUCCAUCAAGAGGAACCCCAAAUCCAGUAUGGAAGAACUCGACAUUUCCAACGUGCUGGUGUCUGAGCAGUUCGUGAAAACGUUGGAUGGGGUGUACGCCGUCCACCCCCAGCUGGACGUGGUGUACAAGGCGGUGCAAGGCCUGUCUGCCAAGAAAGCCGUCCUCCUGUGGACGAACCCCAUGAAACUGAUCCAGAGCUAUGCAGACCAGCACAAAAUCACGGUAGUGGACUUCCUCAAGAACUUGAACCCUACCAGAACGAUGAGGAUGCCUGUAGGCGAAUUCCGGAAAGCUAUGGUACAGCAGAAGCAAGUCCCCUUAAACCGGUCCCAAAUCAGGGAGCUGAUAAAGAAGAUUGACGAGAAGACCGGCAUGGUGAACUUCAGUCUCUUGAAAAUGGCGAAGCCAUAGCAACAAGUCUGGUCUGGAAAGAAGUCUCAGCGAGGAGAAGUCCUGGCAAGUCGGAUGGCGGCAAGGAGGAGGCGGAGAGCUGGCUGGAAACUCUGUGCACAGACACCGAGGCCAGGACUGUGAGCAAGCAGGUGCAGAGGGCUCACGUGGAGAGAGCCCAGGACAGGAGACUGAGAGACCCGACAUCUAAUUGUGGCCUGGCACUACCUGGCCACCUGAACUUGGAGCCUCAUGGUUCCACCUGAAAAGUGGGACAGCUGAAAUAAAGGCUGCCCAGUCUGUCCCAGGGAUCUACCGUGCUAUGUUUCUUUUCAAAACUCCUUGGGAAACGGGGGAGAUAUGAGGAGCUUAGCUAAAAAGCAAGAACAGCCAAGAGGACCAGGCACUGAGCAGGUGGGGGAAUGGGGACCUUAAAGGGUUUAGAUUAACCUCACCAGUGUCUUUGUGGACGAACAAGGCCAGCAAUUGUCCCAAGCAUCUCUGUAGCACCUGCACAGCACCUGGCACACAGUAGGUGCUCAAUAAAUACCUGUGGAAUGAACAGACAUGAUCACCUGGCAAUUGUUUGGGGCAAGUGGUGGGAAAGUGGGGGCUGGAUGGGGGCGCAUCCAGGAACCAACACUUUGGCGCCCCAGAGGACCGCUGGAACAGCAUUGGUCGUCAAGGCACCAGCCCUUGGAUUUCACUCGGCUUCUUCACUGAGGAUGGAGGCGAUGCUGAGGCCUCUCUGCGCAGGUGGCAGAAUCAUUAUUGUAAAUAAUUUAUGUUCCCCCCUCCCAUGCA